rnacentral:rRNA from 1 species
AGCUAGAGUACGGCAGAGGGGGAUGGAAUUCCGCGUGUAGCAAUGAAAUGCGUAAAUAUGCGGAGGAACACCGAUGGCGAAGGCAAUCCCCUGGGCCUGUACUGACGCUCAUGCACAAAAGCGUGGGGAGCAAACAGGAUUAAAUACCCUGGUAGUCCACGCCCUAAACGAUGUCAACUGGUUGUUGGGUCUUCACUGACUCAGUAACGA